rnacentral:tRNA from 1 species
CGCGGGGUGGAGAAGUGGCAUCUCGAGUGGCUCAUAACCACUAGAUCGCAGGUUCGAAUCCUGCCCCCGCAA